rnacentral:rRNA from 1 species
AACGUAGGUGGCGAGCGUUAUCCGGAUUUACUGGGCGUAAAGGGCGCGUAGGCGGUCAGCACAAGUCAGUUGUGAAAUCUCCGGGCUUAACUCGGAAAGGUCAACUGAUACUGUGCGACUAGAGUGCAGAAGGGGCAACUGGAAUUCUCGGUGUAGCGGUGAAAUGCGUAGAUAUCGAGAGGAACACCUGCGGCGAAGGCGGGUUGCUGGGCUGACACUGACGCUGAUGCGCGAAAGCCAGGGGAGCGAACGGG